rnacentral:sRNA from 1 species
CCUUGAGCAUGGACAGCCUGGAUCUGCUGGGUGAAGGGAGAAGUUAUGUCCAGGGUGGGACAGAGAGGAUGGCGAGAGAUUUCCUCACUACUCAGAACAGCGGGAAAUUCAAAACUUAGGGAUUAUUUCUGAAAUUUUCCAUUUAAAAUUGACCAAGUGUAACUGAAACCAGAGAAAGCAAGACUGACGAUAAGGGAGGGGCCUCCUGUACUCCAAGAGCACUGAAUCUGGAAAAACUCAACACAUCGAUGGAGUCAUAUAUUUAAUUUUUUCUUAAAAGCCACCUGUGGGGUAUUGUAGAAACGCUGCGCUGCCUAUCACAGCUUGUGAUGUGACACGUUCAUUCUGCAAGUUUAAACUUCGCCUAGCUUUUCAAAGGAGAAUAAAUACCAAGUAUCUGGUUAGAACUCUGACCUCUUUGCAGAACACAAAGCUGGAGCUGAAGCUCACCCCCACCCCCACUCACUCCCGUGGUUAACAGAAUAUUAAACCUGAAAAGUACAUUUUAAAAAAAGAAUGAAAAGUAAAAAUGUUUGGGAAGUUUUCUGGAAACUAAAGAGCUAAGAAUUCUUAAAGGAUCUGGAAAGCUGUGUUUUCAUACUUCAGUUUGAUGCAUGGAUUUUCAGUUUAAAAGCCUUUUGCAUAAAAACAUUAAAGUCUCCUUCUAAGGGAUCGGUUCUUGGGGAAAAGCUGUGCUUCAGAGACAAGGUUGAAGAACUUCGCCUGCAUAUGAUGGAAGAUGACAAUGGGAACCACAGGUGUCAUUGGUGGC